CUCUCAUCUAGGGCCUUCAGCUUCUGGGUUUCAUGUUCUACCAGGAGGUGACACUUUUCAUUCUGGAACAAAUCCCAGGCAGAACAGGAGAGAUUUGUGUAAAGAUGAGGACACGGACCUGACAGAGACAUUCCCAGCUUUAUUAUUCUCUCUCUGAGCCACAGGCACAGAGCUGGUGUCAGAUGAAGACUUCAUGACCUGUGAGGCACGGAGCGGACUGCGCUCAACCCACAUGAGUGUUCACUUCACUGCAUUCCUGAUCUAUGGAAACUGGUAACUCCCCACCCAGUAUAUCAGCACAGUGAUCUGCCUUCCUCGUCAAAAUCAGAGCCACUGUCCCACAAGUAAGGUGGUUCUUACCAACAUCAUGGGACCAAAAAAGAAAACAAAGGCUUUCCUGAAACCUCAGUGGCUCAUCAGAACCUCAAGGACCCCAUUUUGCUGCCCCACAUCAGUGCUGAGGGGUAUACGAUACUUGCCUGCACUGGCCGUCACAGCCCUGCCCGUAGCACCUGCUGUGUAAAUACGCCAGAGGCGGCACUUGUACACGGCCAUGUGGUUUUACUUUACCGCAGGCUGGACUGUUGGCUCUCAAAACUUCUCCCACCCAACUGUCUUAUAAGUAGCUCAAACAACAGACUUUUGGCCAUUUAGAGCCCACUUGCUUUGCAUGCCCCACAAAACUGUACCCGGCAUCUGCUAGGCACAGAGAAGGUAAGCCUGGGGCCACAGAAAGACCCUAAGCCCUCCACGGCUCGGCCCCAGAGACUCCCCUGCUAGUGACCCCAUCCAGAUAGAGGAGCCCUCUGUCCCCGGGAGCUCCCCUGCCCUCCUCCCUCUGGGAGUGGCCCGUGCCGUGAAGCUGUCGGCGCACCAGCACACCAGGGCACUUAGGAGCUCGGCUGAGAGGACACCCACAUUCACAGCCCAGUCUGCCACUCAUUAGCCAAGCAGCCCCCGCAAAGCACAGUGGCUCUGCCAGCCUUUGUUCCUCAUCUACAGAAACUACUUAUCCGGUGAAAGUGAAGACUCGGGGAGAGCAAGCCAUGCAGUGUGGCCCACGGCCUGGCAGAGCCGUCGCUCCAUGUGCAAUGAAUGUUAGAAGGGGCUCGAUACUGGUCCCCACCCCCUGCCACCUGUUACAAGCUCUGCGGCUCCAUAUGGCUUGCUCGCUUGCUCUCCUCAACAUCAGGGAAAAUGUCAAAUAAUGUCGGCUCCGUGCCUCCGUCCUGACUUCACUGGGGUCUCUCCCUAUGUGUCUCCCUGAAGGGGGCCGCUCGGCUUCAGGAUGGAAGAGAACCUAGCAGCUCCUGGCACAGCCCACUCUCUGACACCCACCUCGGAG